ensembl:snoRNA Gm24160 small nucleolar RNA SNORA17
CUUGCCCCUAGAAACAUUGCAGGGGUGGCUGUUGUGUCACAUGAGCAUCAGCAGGUGGCAGAGAAGAGAGAGGCUACACUCAAUAUUCUGACCUAUGCAUAUUCUGAAUGAUUAGUGGACUAACGUU